GAGAAGUUUGAUCCUGGCUCAGGAUGAACGCUAGCGGCAGGCCUAAUACAUGCAAGUCGGACGGGAUCCAUCGGCGAGCUUGCUCGAAGAUGGUGAGAGUGGCGCACGGGUGCGUAACGCGUGAGCAACCUACCUCUAUCAGGGGGAUAGCCUCUCGAAAGAGAGAUUAACACCGCAUAACAUCAACAGUUCGCAUGUUCGGUUGAUUAAAUAUUUAUAGGAUAGAGAUGGGCUCGCGUGACAUUAGCUAGUUGGUAGGGUAACGGCUUACCAAGGCGACGAUGUCUAGGGGCUCUGAGAGGAGAAUCCCCCACACUGGUACUGAGACACGGACCAGACUCCUACGGGAGGCAGCAGUAAGGAAUAUUGGUCAAUGGGCGGAAGCCUGAACCAGCCAUGCCGCGUGCAGGAUGACUGCCCUAUGGGUUGUAAACUGCUUUUGUCCAGGAAUAAACCCAGAUACGUGUAUCUGGCUGAAUGUACUGGAAGAAUAAGGAUCGGCUAACUCCGUGCCAGCAGCCGCGGUAAUACGGAGGAUCCGAGCGUUAUCCGGAUUUAUUGGGUUUAAAGGGUGCGUAGGCGGCCAAUUAAGUCAGGGGUGAAAUACGGUGGCUCAACCAUCGCAGUGCCUUUGAUACUGAUUGGCUUGAAUCCAUUUGAAGUGGGCGGAAUAAGACAAGUAGCGGUGAAAUGCAUAGAUAUGUCUUAGAACUCCGAUUGCGAAGGCAGCUCACUAAGCUGGUAUUGACGCUGAUGCACGAAAGCGUGGGGAUCGAACAGGAUUAGAUACCCUGGUAGUCCACGCCCUAAACGAUGAUAACUCGAUGUUGGCGAUAGACAGCCAGCGUCCCAGCGAAAGCGUUAAGUUAUCCACUUGGGAG
rnacentral:rRNA from 1 species